GGAGUGGUACCCAAGUGGUUAAGGGGAGCGUUUGCUAAACGCUUAGGGGGUCGAAAGAUCCCGCGUGGGUUCGAAUCCCACCCACUCCGCCA
rnacentral:tRNA from 1 species